AUAUCAAUCAAAAUUGUAUUUAUUUUUGGUCAAUUUAGCAAAAAAAUAUAUUUUUGGUGUGCUGCAGCAUUUGAAAAAUUAGUUUAUGUGUGCCAUGAGAUGAAAGCAAUUGAAAACCACUGCUUUAUGUGGUAACUUCUUAGAUAAUUCACUGCAGGUCUCACCAAGCUGGCCCUAGCUCGUCAGUGAAAUAAUAACAGUCCCUGUGAAAUAUAGCUUUAGACUGAUUAGUACAUCAUGCUGCUAUUAUUUGAAAGCAUGUGUUAAACUUCAGUUAAACAUUUAUAGAUAUUAAAACAUACAAAUGUUUUCAUUGGGGAGGGUACCUGCUACCAGGUGCCUUUUACUCUAAAGUAAGUUUGUUUUUUACUGGAAAGCAGAUUCUUUUCUUGUGCUGAUGUCUGCUCUUCAAUAAAUGCUCACCAUUACUUUGAAUCCAGGGUUCUUUUGUGUUUAAUAUCCAAAAGCAGCCCUAUUCUUUUUUGUGUUUAGGAUAACAGGAAUUUAGUACAUUGACAAAAGGUAAAACUCCACAUUAAAAAUGUUACUAUACAAUCUACAUUCUGUAGUUUAUUAUACAAUUCCAUUGCAGUUUAUUUGACAUUGUUUAAGUUACGGAGACUAACUUGUAAAGCUUCACUGAUUUUUGGUGUUUGAUCAGAAUAAUUUAUAUUCUAACUUUAGCUUCUUCACAUGUAAAAUGGAAAAAUAUAUAAAAUUAUUGGAGUGACCACGUCCCAAGUCCAAUAACAAGAUAAGGCAUGCAUUUCAAUUCUUGUAAGUGCUAAAGAGUUUUGAGUUUAAAGGAAAACUAUUCAACCUCUGUGAACCUCAGUUUCUUCCUCUGUAAAAUAUAGAUGGGCCCUACCUUGUAUCAGUGUCUUGAGAACUAGGAAUAUAUGUAAAGAUGCUUAGUAAAUAAGUAACAGUCAUUUAAUGAUGAUGAUAAUAUUAGCAAACUAAUUUAGUAUCUUAAAUGUUUACUAGAUUAUUAUUUUCAGAAAAUACUUUUAUUGUUAGCUUUUUUAAUGUUGUAUGGUGAAGUCAACCAUCAGAUAAAUAAUGUGACCAGAAAUUUCCGUCAACUCUUCAUUUUUCUGGUUAGUGGCAUCUUUACUUUAGGGUGCUUUUCCCCUCUUUUUCCCAGUAGGGUGAUUGUGUGAGUGAGGUGAGGAGGUGAUCAUUUUAAUCGUAAUCUAAAAGAGAAGGAAAAUAGUAUGUUUAAAACUUGAUCCUUAAUUUGUAGAGGAAAUGAUAAGGCAAUUGCCAGUUUACAGUAAGCUCAAGGACAGAUGAAUCUGGGAUAUAAUGAGCACAAAGCUCUUUUUAUUGAGAGAGCUAAAUGCCAGGCUGCAGAAACUGCGCAUAACUGUUCUCUUGAUCUUGCUUGUCUGUCUUUUCUCUUCUUACAUGUAUGUACUAAGUGUUCACAUUCUAGGGCAUCAAAUGGUGACAGUGAUUUCCUUCCUCUUGAACUCUGGAUGGUUAAAGUAAUGGUCCUAUUGAGCUUACUAAUAGCAGUAGCAACUUUGAAAAGAAGAAUAAAAAAUAUAAUAAUAGUUUAAAAGUUGGAAAAUGAAAGAAUUAUCAAGUCGAGUCUGAACAUAUAAUCUGUUAAUAAAAAUGUUAAAGCCUAUAUCUUGCCUUGUUUUUCAUUUGAUGAGUAUAGUUAUUUUCAAUGUGUUUGAUUUCGCAGUGAGAUGGAUAAUACAAAGGAAUGGAAUAUUCAUGUGUGUUUUAGUAGAUCCAUUGAACCAUAAAUUACGAGGCACAAUAUUUGGGUAUAUACUCUAGGUCUGUAAUGUAAAAUAUGAUAAUCAGAAACCAAGUCUACAAAUAAUACUUUUUGUGUAGGUAACCUUGAAGUAUGCAAGUAUUUAGCAAGUGUGAAUUAAAUAUUUCUUUUACCAGUGAAAUCAUAUGUUAAUAUUAUCCAUCUAAUUUAUUUUUAUUUUCAUAAAUAAUAAGCAGCUAGCCACAGGUUAUGUUUAAUUAUGAAUAACUGCAUAAUAUAGGAAUGUCCUCUAUCUGUUAUAGAAAUAUGAUAAAAUCUGUUAUGCAUUUAGGUCUGUGUAACAGAAAACCUAACACGUCCUCAUUUAUCUGACAAACCCAUCUAAGUUAUUGAAAAUAGAGGUUUGUGUUUUCACAAAGAAAGUGAAGAUGAGUUAUUUGGUUCUUGCAUGGACCAAUCAUUCUUUAUCUCUGUCCUUAGCUUAUGGUCUUUAUUCUUGUGCUUAGAGGAUGGCAGGGCAUAUUCAGGAGCAUGUGCCAGUUACCAUGUCCAUUUUAGCUGAGCAUAUGUUACUUUUCCUGUAAACUCCAUGCAGUUUUUUUAAAUAUACAAAUUAUUGACCAGAACUGUUCCACGGUCAUCCUCAGCUGAAAGUGAACCUGCAUAAUCAAGGCAUUUAGUUUAGCUGCACACACAUCUUCCUGAGAAAUGUCCUUUUGCUUCAUUCAUCACAGCUUCCCAGGGCUCUUUCACUUUCUUCAAAGAAGAGACUGUACAUCUGGCUAAAGAUGAGAAGUCUUAGUGAGACCAUAUUGUUGUUCCUCAACACCCCAAGGGAAGUAAGUUUACAGCCACAUCUGUUUAAUUUCACCAACUCCUAGGUCAUGGCUCUCACAUCACCAGAACUGAAUGUAUAUUUUUGGACUCUUUUCUUGGGGGAAAUAUAGGGACUUUCAGUUGUUUUAGUCCAAAAUGAGCUGAUCUUUCUGCUAAGCUACCUGACCCCACAACUUUGGGAGUACUCCAUCUUCUCUUUUUAAUUUAGUAGUAUUUUAAUCUUAAAAAAUAUGAGGUAUUUACUAAUAAUACUUUAUGUACUCUGGGUUCAUUAAAAAACAGUCUGAUUUAUUGAGUUAUUUGGAGAAUUUAUUAUUUACAGAAAAUUUAAAGAUGUCAGUUAACAUGUGCCCAAUCUUUAAAACACUUUAUCUUCUGUUACCUAGUGACAUAAAAGCUUAUGAGGUUUUAACAUUAUACCAUUUCGUGCUUUUCUUUUUGAAGUUUAAGAUGUGUAACAGUUGUUUUUACAGUAUACCUACCGCAGACUUUUCAUACAAAUGUAGGAUUUUGUCAUUGCAGGCAUGUUUGACAUGGUUACUGUUUUAUUUUCCUCAAUAGGACUAAAGAGCAAUUUGUGGAAGAAUGCAAUUCCUGUUUCAUGUCAGAAUAGAAGAUAUGUGGUCUGGGUUCAUAUUUUUUUUUUCCUUUUCUAAGAUGUUAUUGGUCUAUUAUCCAUGAUCAUAUCAUAAUACUAUUUGGAAAUCAUGAAUAACUAAUGUCUGAGUUACUUUUGCUUUUUAAAUGUUUUAUAGUCUUCUCUCAAGAUGACUGAUAUUCUAGGAUUUUGGAGGUUCAAAUGCUAGUUCAUGUUUGUCAUCUCGCUGCUUUUUUCCCCCCAGCUGUUAUCUUUCUGCAUUAAAAACCUCUCAUGCUUUUGUUUUGCUUAUUUGUGCUCCCCCCCACCCAAAUGCAGGUCUUCUAUCCUCUUGACCAUUUCAAUUGACAGUGCUAUUUUGUUGUUUUAAAUUGUACUUGUUAGUUAUAGGACUGUAGUGAAAAUAAGUUGUCUCUUUUUGCUUCACUUCCAUAAAGUACCUUUUAUCGAAAACUGUGUGCCGUCCCUGCAUAUUUGGUAAACCGCUACUCACAAGUAUAACAUAUAAGCAGGAAGUACUUAGAAACAAGAAGUACUUAGAAACUUAAGUUUAUAAAAACUUAAAUUUUGUUGUAGCAGGUUCAAAUUACCUUUAAAGUUAGAGGACAUUCAAAAAUAUUGUAAACUUAGAGAAUUACAAAUUAUUUUAGACUAGAUUAAAAAUUAUUUUGAAAUAAUUAUAGACUUACAGGAAGUUGCAAAAACAGUACAGAGCAGGCUUCUGUACCAUUUGGCAGUCUUGCCCUAGUGGUAAUAUCAAAUAUAUUACGACAUCAAAACCAGGAAAGUGACAGGCCUCAUUCAGAUUUCACCAGUUUUUACACAAUCUUAUUUGUGUGUAUACUUCUCUGCAGUUUUAUCACUGAUAUAUGUUAUUAACCAAUAUGAAAAAGAAGAUACAUAAUUUUCCCAUUACCAAAAAGGAACUCCCUCAUUCUUUAUUUUUAUACUAUCUUCUCUUCCUCCACCCCUAACCUUUGGCAAUUGCUGAUCUGUUUUUGUCUUUUAUUUGUUUAUUUUUUCAUUUUAGAAUGUUAUAUAAUUGAAUCAUAGACUACAUAAUCUUUGGAGAUUGGCCCCCCCCCCACUCAGCCUAAUGCCUUUGAAAUCAGUCCAAGUUUCAUAUAUCGGUAGUUUGUUCCUUUUUGUUGCUAAAUAGUAUUUCAUUGCAUGGAUGUACCACAGUUUAUUUACCUGUUCAUCUGUUGAAGGACAUUUUUAUUGGUUAUGGUUUUUGGCUUUUAAAAAUAUUGCCAUAAACCUAAGAUAUGAAUAUAUAUGUCUGGGUUUUAUUUCUCUGGGAGAAAUGCUUCCUGGGAGCAUUUCUCUGGGAGUAUGAGUGCUAGGCUAUAUGGCAAGUGUAUGUUUGGUUUUAUAAGAAAUUGUCAAACUAUUUCUCAGAGUGUCUAUACCAUUUGCAUCCUGACCAAAGAGGUAUGAGGGGGCCCAAUUUAUCUGCAUUCUUGCUAGCAGUUGGUAUUGUCAAUUUUUUAAUAUUAACUGUUUUGAUAGGUAUGCAGUGAUAUAUCAUCAUGUGGCUAGUGGCUCCUGUAUUAGAGAGUGCAGGUUUAGAUUAUGUUAUCUGGAAGAGGAGCUUUUGUAGAAAGAGUUGGUAUGACCUGUAAAGACAUUGAAGGGGUGAAGAUCAAGUAGAGAGAAAGUUUCAUUCAGCUAUGUGUUCAUGAUACUAGAGGAAAAUAGACCCAUAGAGGUUUUGAUUUUUGUCUUACAAAGGGAGUCAGCAAUUAUUGACCUGUGACUUUUUUUAAUACUUGAAGAGAAAUAAAUGGAUGGGUAUUGAAUGUAAACAUGGAGAUAUGUCAUAUCUUAAAGGAACUGGGGCUAAAAAGGUAGCCAUACUUUCCCCCAAGUUAUGUGGAAUGAGUUUGUUCACAUUGUUCUUUUCAUUUAGGUGAUUCUUAUUUAUGUUAUUUUCACGCGCAAAAUGAAUUUCAUGUAUCCCAUAAAGCAAAAACAAAAACAAACAAAACAAAAAGCAUAGGACAGCCAAAGUAAAUCUGGUCCUUCUAGAUAAAGUGGCUGACAUCAGUUGGCAACGUGGUGCUCUGAUAGUCCUAGACCUUUGGGGAUGUGCCAACUUCACUUUGACGCAGGCCAAAUAACAGCUGUUCCUAACUUUGUUCUUCCAAGAGUUUUGCUUAUGUGCAGUGACUCAUUAUGACUUGCAUUAUUCCUGAGUUGGUCUCUGCUUGUAAGAGAGGAGGUUUCAAAGGAUUGCUCUUCAAUCAUUCUUCAAAACUCCAACAGUUUUGUGCCCUUUUCUUUAUGAGUUGCUUUUCUUAUUUCCACUAUAUGGCAGUUUCUUCAGUGUUUAUCCCUUUUUUUUUGUACCUACUCACUUUGCAUACAUGAUAGUUACCCUUGUACUAUCAGUUAAAAACAUUACCAAUUAUGAAAGUGAAGGUAUUUGCCCUCAUGAUCUAUAUCAGUCAGUUUCUCCUUAUGGAAUGCUGUUUUCCACACUGUAGCUGCCCAGUACAUGCUGGCUCAUUGAGUAUCUCUGGGAUGCUUGAUGUGUGUUUUGAAUUUAAGCAGAGAAGAGUAUAUUUAUAGAACAUAUAGUGUCUUUUAGGUGUUUUCCAGAGCUUAGAAUAGAGGUUUGCACUCAAGGGGUGCUUUGCAAGUUAAUAUUGACUGGGAGUCUGGUCCAGCUUGUUCUGUAAUAUUAGAAAUAUAGAGAAGUAUUUAUUACCAUAGUUGUUGGAGGGUCCCUAGAAACACGUGAAAGUAAUUCGAUCAUGUAGUGGUCUGUGGUAGGUCAAACCUCUUUCACACACAGCUUAACCUUUCUUGUGUCUAAUACUACUCAUGAAGAAGAUUGUAAUUUGUGCAUUGUGCUUUUAUCAGGUUGCUGUUCCCAAUGCAGUUAGAGUAAUUUUUCAUUUCAUAACAGUCCUCAGGCAAUUCUGUUUAACAAUGCUUUCUAUUUCAGAACAUUCUUCUAUUUAAAAAAAACUUCUUUUUUGCCUCAGGCCCAACAUGUUUUUCCAGCCAGGCCAGUAGUAAUUUCUGUCUUCACUGGCUUCAUUCACCUUCACUGUUAAACUUUUGUAUGGGUUUCCUAGGAAUGUCUUUGUGUCUCUAUGUGUGUUAAUAGCAUAGUGGAUGCUGAGAUGCCUAUGCCUUCUAUUUGUUGAUAUUACUUUGGUUUAAAUCUCUUGUUAGUUUUCUAGAUUGUAAGUCAGACUUUGUUUUCUUAAUGAAUAGAAUUUUAAUUUUCCACUUGAACUUUUAGUCAUCCACAAAAUUUUCUUGAACAACAGUAUUCACAGUGGAAUAACUACUGCAUUACUGAUAAAAAAAAAGUAUUCAAGUUCAUUUAAUAGGUAGCGUAUUUCUUUUUUUAAGGUGGUAUCUUAAAACUGAGUGAAACAAAUAACCCGGAUUGCCAUCCUAAAUGAUCAUGAAUUCAGUUAGAUUUUGGCUUGAGAUAAUAUAGCAUUCUAAGUCAAGGCUUUUGAAUCUGCUCUUGGGUCUGAAUUUGGUAAUAAUAACCUACUUUAUAGGGAUGUAUAUUUUUAACAGGGAAAGUCUGAUAAUCAGAGACAUAGAAGAGAAAGCCUUUGUUUUUUCUUUAUUAUUAACCACUUCUGACUUACACAACAGGGCAGAUUUUGAAAUACGUAUAAAAUGAAGGUUUUCAAGAGAUUCUAGGGACUAAAUAUAUAUGGAGAGACCAGUGCUAGACUAAAUUUAGAACUCUGGCUGUGCUCUAAGUAUGUGUCUGUAUGUUUGUACGUAUUAUACAUGUUAUAUGUGUGCAUGCAUGCAUGUAUGUAAAUGUCUCUUAUGUCUUCUUUAAGUUGGCAUAAAUGUUUUCUCAUUCAUUGUGCUUGUAUCUGUACAAACCUUGGAGAAAAUGGGGAUUUUCCUUUCUUUGGGAGUAGUGAUCAUAGUGUUAAAAAUGAAAAAAGAGUACUUUUUUGGGUUAUAGUUUGCAUUUUAAAUUUCAUUGCUGUUCCUCUCAACUUCCAUCUGUGUUGACAUUUGGGAAUUUUGCUGUUGCUCUUUCUCAAGUGGAGUGUAAAAGCUUAAAACAGAAUUUACACUUUUAAAUACAAUCGAGGCUCUGUGGCAUCAUGAUUCACUCCCAGACUGACUACAUUUUUUUUUGGCUUAAAAAAAAGAGUCAAACAUGUUGUUGAAUGACAUAUUUUUCAAGCUUAUAAUGUCACUGAUUAUUUUCCAUUAUUCACAUCAUUUUUUUUGCACUAAUGGAAAUUUAGGCUUAAAAUACAAUAAGUAUUAAAUUUUUCGAUGCUUAAUAUUUUAUGACAUCAAAGAAAUGUUUUCAUACAGGUGCAUUGUUAGUGCGGUUUUACUUUAUUUUACUUUACUUUUAAAGUAAGGUUUAGGUAUAAUCUAAGAAAUAACAAAAAUGUGGAUAAGCCACAAAUAGCCAGAUUGGGUGUUAUAUGACUUUGCUGGCUCUAUGCUCAAUUUUAUUUUAUUUUUUUAACUUCCGAAAUCUCAUGCAUUUGGCAUAUGGGCUCUCUCUCUCUCACUCUCAAUCUGUGUGUGUGUGUGUGUGUGUGUGUGAAUGAUAUCUUGGCUGAAUCAUUAGUGGCCUGGACCUCUGUCCAGUGAUUAACAGGUUUGGCCCAUUGAUUUUAGCUUUGUUCAAUUUUGACUAUAACAGGGUAAUAUAGAUUGGUUGGCUUAAACAACAGAAAUUUAUUUCUCACAGUUCUGGAGGCUGAGAAGUCCAGGAUCAAAGCACUGACAGAUCCAGUGUCUGGUGAGAGCACAUUUCCUGGUUUGCAGAUGUCUGUUGUAUUCUUAAAUCCUUGCCUAGCAGAGAGGAAGGAUAGAGAGAGAGGAAGCAAGCGAAAGCUUCCUCCAAUCUCUAGUCUCUGCUUAUAAGGGCACUGAUCUAUUCAUGAGUGCCCCACUCUUAUACCUUAAUCAUCUUGUAAAGGUUAGGAUUUUAACAUAGGAAUUUUGGGGAUACACAAAUAUUCAAUCAGUAACAGUUUCCUAAGGAUCUUUCUAGUUUUUAGUGUUUGUGAUGGCUUCUUCUACAUAAAAGUAGUUUUCAAAUUUUAAACAAAUUGUGUGUGUAUGUAUGCACUGAGGCGAUACAGCAGAAACUCAUUGUAAUUUCUUAAUAUAGCCAAGAGACUAGUGAUCAUUUUAAUGAGAGCUACAUGAUUGAAAUUAGGGAGUAGUAGAUUUGGGGGCCAUUAAAUUUCAGCACUGUGAAAGGCAAAAAUGAAAUAGUAUGUCUCCCAAAAUUUGUUACCUUCAUGUUGGAAAAACUAGGAGCAUUGAAUGUUCCAAGAUUCCUGGGAAGCAAAGCAGAGGCCUGGUUAUAGGCAGAUAUAAUUCAUUCAGUGCACAGUACAGAAAGGAAUAGAUAAACUAUUUAUUUUCUUAAGUUAAAAUAAUUAUAAUGAAAUUCUUUUGGAGAAAAAUAACAUGGUAUGUGAGGCUUUGUAAGAUCUGAGGAGAAAAAAUAUCUUAAGAGCAUUUAUUUCACUUUAGAUUUUCUUACUAAAAGUAACAAUAAAUAUAGUGCUACCUCAGGACUGAGCAGAUAUAAGUGGUUGUCAUACCAACACUUAAGAUUCAUUUUAAUAAUGUUUUUGAUAAGAUUUGAUGUUAUGUUUUCAUAUUCCCCUAUGCUAAGUCAUCAGAAAUCUGCAGACAUACAUAACUUACAAGGAAUGAAAGGAUGCAAAUAAUUUAUACUAGAUUUCUUUGUGUUGUAUUUUGAAGUUUCUUUGUAGUGUGAUGUAGUGCAAUUAGUGAGUUAGAUUUGUAGUAGAUGUUAGUGUGUUCAUUAGAUAAGGAUGUAUUUGUUUCUUGAGUGAAUGUAUUCAUUAAGAGUGGAGACCCUACAACAUAAUAUCUGUAUAAUCUUAAUAAAAGGUAACUCGUAAUUCCAGACACAAAUGUACAUCCAUUAGGUAUUGGCCAUAUUUUUGUGGCGACUGAACCUUUUAUCCUGUCUCCUUUUGUCCUGUUUGCUCUCCCCUGGUUUGAUUUCCAGCUAAGAACUUUAAUUUUUCAGUCCAGUCAGCCAAUUAGAAAGUGAUAUAGCUGAUAAUAACUUAGUAUAGUAUAAUACUCUUAUAUAUUAUAUAUAUUUAAAUGAUGGUGUUUGCAGUGUAAUUCAAGAUCUGCCAUUUGAGAAUUUAGGAAAGUUUCUGCUGUGAAUAAAAGGAUUUUUUAAAACUUGUGUCCACCCAUUUAGAAUGCUGGUUCUUAAGAAAAGCCCCCCCACC